rnacentral:rRNA from 1 species
CCUACGGGAGGCAGCAGUGGGGAAUAUUGCACAAUGGGGGAAACCCUGAUGCAGCGACGCCGCGUGAGUGAAGAAGGAUUUCGGUAUGUAAAGCUCUAUCAGCAGGGACGAGACAAGGCGGUAACUGACUGAGAAGCCCCGGCUAACUACGUUCCAGCAGCCGCGGUAAUACGUAGGGGGCAAGCGUUAUCCGGAAUCACUGGGUGUAAAGGGAGCGGAGACGGGGGAGCAAGCCUGAAGUGAAAGGCCGGGGCCCAACCCCCGGACUGCAUUGGGAACUGUACGGCUGGAGUGCAGGAGAGGUAAGUGGAAUUCCUGGUGUAGCGGUGAAAUGCGUAGAUAUUAGGAGGAACACCAGUGGCGAAGGCGGCUUACUGGACUGUAACUGACGUUGAGGCUCGAAAGCGUGGGGAGCAAACAGGAUUAGAUACCCUAGUAGUC